rnacentral:rRNA from 1 species
UACGUAGGGGGCGAGCGUUAUCCGGAUUUACUGGGUGUAAAGGGAGCGUAGACGGCGAUGCAAGUCUGAAGUGAAAGGCGGGGGCCCAACCCCCGGACUGCUUUGGAAACUGUAUGGCUGGAGUGCAGGAGAGGUAAGUGGAAUUCCUAGUGUAGCGGUGAAAUGCGUAGAUAUUAGGAGGAACACCAGUGGCGAAGGCGGCUUACUGGACUGUAACUGACGUUGAGGCUCGAAAGCGUGGGGAGCAAACAGG